GGCCCCCACCCAGCCCGGCGUGCGGCCCGCGGCCGUUGGCGACGGUUGGCGGCGGGGCGGGGCGGGGGCGGACGGAGAUCUCGCUCUCGCUCUCGCUCUCGCCCCGCGGGAAGGGGGAGUGGAGGCGCGACCGGCUGCGGGAGCUGCAAUUACCGUGUGGGCUGCGGAAUUCUCGUGGUGUUUGUCGGGGAGAUGCGAUAAUGGCGUCCGUCCUCGCGAGAGAAGCAGCCGCUCUGCGCAGGCGCUGCGAGCACCUCCCCGCGCCCUGCGCCCCGCCCUCAGCGCAGGCUCCCUGGGCUCCGGGUUCGAGGGCGGAGCCAGGCGGACGGGGGGCGGGGCCUGCUCUGGGCGCCUCUAGCGCGCGCUUUCGCCUACAGACUCUGGCGAACAUGCGCAGUUGUCUUCCUGUACUCCGAGAGUUGACUCCUGGGACCCUUGUUUCCCCUCUCACGUCCGUGCUUUUUGCUAAAAUGGUAAAUCCUCCCGUGGGCAAUCUGAGGAAUGUACGUCCUUUCUGAGAGGGAGUGAAUAGAUGCUAAUGCUGCUCCAAUGACUACAAAUCCCAGGGUAUGCUGUGUGUGGCGCGAUGCCUUCUGGGAUUGGUAGUCUCGGCAGUUGUGAUUUGCGUGCUGGGAUUUGUAGUUCACCCGGAUUCUGGCAGUCGCGUCCCUUCCCUGCCCUGAGGGCUGCUGGGACUUGUAGUGACGGCAACUCAGAUAGGGUGUGCUCAUCCAAACCGCUCCUACCUACUCGCGCCGUGGAUCGGUCUCGGACGUUCCGGGCUCGUUUAGUGAUGUUGUCUCAAAAGUUGUCCAACUCCCAUGUGAGCAAGCAGUUGGAGCGGACGCUGUCACGGUGAUAGAGAUUAUAUGUGGCAUGCUUCUGUAUCCUGGAAUAGGCGCUCCUUCGGCAUCGAUGUGCGCUUGUUCCCAGAAAUGCUACUAGUGGCUAUUUCUGCACUUAGUCUCUCAUUCACGUUCCUCUCCGGGCUCGUUCCUUCCGCAUGUUCGCAGUGAGCAAUCCGCCAAACCAGGAUCCGGGAGCUAUUUUCACUUGGAAAGAAAAUACUUUACCUUAACUUUCCUACUCCCUUCUCUGUGCCAAUAAUAAAGUCAUGACUCAGUGCAGCCACCAGCUAGGCGACCUUGGGCGACCCUACUGAGUGCUUCUAGACCACUGCGCUCUGUCUCUGGGGGCUGGUCCUGGGCUACUUUGCCUCAAACGUGUCUUGAAGACUUCAACCUGGAACUGUGCUGUUAAAAUAAGACCUGUCAUUUACACAGAUGAGGAUGAAGUCCAAAGAGGCUAAGAAAUUGCUGGAGGUAGCAGCUGGAGCCAGGAGGGCAGAUUUUGGGCGUCUAUGUGAAUGAAGUCUUACAAUUUUAAGUUGCCUCACAUCCAUGUAGAAAGCAAGUUGGCAGCCUAGAUUAUGUAGCAAGUUCCAGAACAGCCAUAUCUUGCAGCGGCGGCUGGGGGAUGGGAAGUUGGGUGGGGUGCGUUGAAAAGUCAGUUUCUCUUCUGGGAGCAGACGCCAUCACCACGGACAGCGCCUCUGUGCAGUAUAAGAAGGAAGUCUUAUGUAACUUCCUUCUUGUGACCUCCGGCCCUUGGGAAUGCAGGAUAUAGCCUACUUGAUAGAGGCCACCCUAACACACAGGGCAAAUAUGUCGCAUGAACCACCUCACAGUCAUGUGUAACCUCCUGGAACGACCUGUUUGCUCAAACUACCUCAUGAAAUUUGUUUGCACUUGAUCUUAGGCCAAAGGUCAAGGAACCACAGGAAAGCUGCAUGGACCAGACCCUGGACUUCAAUAAAGUCCUUAGCCUGCAGGGUCCUUUCCUUUUCAUCCACCCAAUUACCUGACCUCUAGACACAUAGUGCACCCCCAAGACCUAUACAAAAGUCUGUUUUCAUGUUGUGUCCUGAUCAUUUUGCAACGUGGUCUCCAACAUAAAGAUCUGAAAUUCCAACUGACCCAGACUCCAGGGAAGCAUUAGAGCAGCUACAGGAACCAAGCCCAGAGGUACCAAGAGGAACUUGGGCAGAGACUCCUGGAGGAUACCCUGCUUACUCCCAGCACAUCUCAAUCAACAUAACUCUUUAACUGUGAGAAUUCUGAACAUGAAUGCCUGACUGCAUGGAAAACACAAAGUAAUGGUGACGUCAUUCAUGGACAGAGAUACAAAUGCCACAGUGUAGAGGCCAGCUUAAGGAAAUACAAGGAGUCCAUUUGUGCCAGCAAGAUGACUCACCUAGUAGAGAUGAUUGACACCAAGCCUGAUGACCCCAGGCCCCACACGGCGGAGAGAACUGACGGGCGCAGGUUGUCCUCUGACCCCCAGAUGUGUCUGUGCAUAGAUAGGCACAGAAUAAAUAAAAUGUAAUUUAAAUUUGUA